GUGCGUCCCGGCCUGUAUUGUCAUUUAGGCAUAAGAAGUCAAUUACAGAAAGUUGGUAAAUUAUUAUUGGGAUUAGACAAAAUAAUAAUUGAUAUAAAUAUUGAUGGCUUGCCCUUAUUUAAAAGCUCUCGAGCUCAGCUGUGGCCUGUUUUACUAAGAAUUGUUAAUUAAAUAAAUGAAAAUGAAUUUAGUAUCGUAAGCAAAAUAAGGUAAACUUGUAUUGGUAUUAAAAUAAGUCUCUUCCAAAUAAUAAACAGAUAACGAAAUUACUCUGUCAGUGAACUUCGUGAAUAAACGUCAAGUCGCGGUUUUCGACAAACCAAAAUUAAACCUUUGUUUUAAUUUAGACAGUGUCCGUGGUACUUUUGACAAGUAUCUCGUUUUUUUUGAGACCUUAACUCAGAAAGGUCUAACUGGCGCCCGAGCAAAAUUGGGUAAUUAAGUCACCCAUCGCGCUAAUGUAAAGAAGGAGGCCCCAAGUAUCCAUACGGAAAAAAGGACGCGUUUGAACGCAAGCCGCUUUACUAGUGAGAAAAAAAAGGCUUACCUCGAAAAUUGGGUAAUUAAGUCACCCAUCGCGCUAAUGUAAAGGAGGCCCCCAAGUAUCCUUACGGAAAAAAAGAACGCGUUUGAACGCAAGCCGCUUUACUAGUGAAAAAAAAAGAGACUGACCUCGAAAAUUAAUUGAAAUCAUAACAAAACAAAAAAAGCUACUACAGUGAACUCUAAAAUACUCGAUAAUACGAUACAAAAAGAAAAAAAAAUGGAAAAAAAAGGAACAACAAAAUCUAUCUAAUCAUAACAAAAUCUAUCUAAUCUAAAACAAAGUGAAAGUGACAUCAUCAUCUGUAAUCCAACCUAUACAACGAGGACACCACAUCAGAAUACACCACAUCAGGAUACACUUACCAAGAUGAAGAUGACUCUACUUUUUUAUCAAUCUUUUUAACUCUUUUCACCUUUUCGAAAACCGAGCUACAAAUUUUGAACUACACACUGUCACACCUCGUAACUAUUUUUAGUGGACCUGCAAAAAUACAGGACGGCACAUUUAACAUUAUCCACAUUAUAGAAAUGGACAGAUACAAGAACUUCGUUGACGAUGUACAGAAGGAAAUCGUACAAACCAUCCCUAAAUCCAAUCCCUUUUUCCCACUCCUAACACACGAAAUAUCCCAAAUUCAUGAUAUCCUAGAAUGCAUAGAACCAAUGGAACCUCCCAGGAAAAAGAGAUCUAUCAAUAUAUUAGGUACUGCCUGGAAGUACAUCGCCGGAUCACCAGAUCACGAUGACUUUGUAACAGUAAAAAAUACAUUGGAUCAAACUAUCCUAAAUAAUAACCAACAAGUAGUUAUAAAUGACAUCUUUACAGAAAGAUUACAAAACCUUACCCAAAUUACCAAUCACAUAACCAAAGCAAUUAAAGAUAAUAAAGAUUUUGUAAACGAGGCUGCACUCAGCAUGCAAACUAAGCUCAGAUUCAUAAAAGAAGAAUUAACUAAUAUCAAAUUCGCAAUCCAAUGGGCAAAACAAAAUAUUAUAAAUUCAUUUUUGUUAAAUAAAAAAGAAAUAAAAAUAGCACUGGAGAAAAUAACUGAUGACAAUAUUUUAUUCACAUCAAUAGAAGAAGCCCUCAAGUUUGCAAACAUUAAGGUCCUUUACAAUCAAAGAAAAAUUUUGUAUAUCAUUGUAAUCCCGCUUACUAGCAAAGAACAAUUCGAUAAUGUUAUAAUUAAACCUGUAAAAAGAAAUAAUAGAAUCAUAAGUACCAAGUUUAAUGAAAUAAUGAAAAAUAACCAUAAAAUAUUUGGCAUUAAAAGUGAAUGUGCAAUAAUAAAUAAUGUAAAAAUCUGUAAAAGUGACAAAUUGGUAAACAUAUCCAACGAUACUUGCAUCCCUCCGUUACUAAACGGAAUGAAUUCAUCUUGCCCAAUGGCACACGGCUACCAUAUACCCCAAAUAGAAAAUAUCUCACCCGUUAUCAUUCUUCUUAACGAUUUUAUUGGAACAAUAAACAAUGAUACGGAUAAUGGAACAUUUUUAAUCAAAUUCCACAACGCUACAUUGCGAAUAAACGACAAAUAUUACAGAAAUUUAGAAGCUCCACUUUUGGAAGUUUCUCCACCAACAAUUCAACAAACGCCGGUUGAAGAUGAAUUCAUAAGCCUACUAUCCUUGGAAAUGUUAAACCACUUGCAUAUUAAUAAUACCAAGUCCAUCCAUGAACUCAAGUCAGACUCUGUUGUUACUAAAUAUACCACGUUCUCUUUAUUCACCCUUUUUGCUAUUUGCCUUGUUCUAAUAAGGCUCUUUCAAAAAAAAAGAGAAAAAGUAAUUAUUCAUACAAUAGCUCCUACCCAGAAAUUAAUACAAGCCCCAGUUGCUCGAACAAAAUUGCACGAGCCGAGGCCACAAAAAAUAGGCGAUCUACCUUACUUCUAACGAUUGGGGACAAUCGUUUUUAAAGGGGGAGGAGUUAACACACAAUAUGUUAUAAAUUCAAAAGAUAUUUGGCACAUGUAAAUACAGUUCACACGAAAAUAUUUCAUCAGCUCAAAGUUGCACAUCCGGUAGUUAACCUGUUAAACACAAGAGAUACUUGGCGCGUGCAGACAGAAUUACCACGAAUUUCUUUCAUUUCAAACACAUUUUCGUUCUAUAUUAAAAGUGCAAUAUCUGGCUUGAAUUGCAAAAGCGUUAACUGCUACGCUUUCGCAACGUUCAAUGGAAAUUUGAUAAAUUAAAUAAAAGAAAAUGAAUUUAGUUUCGUAAGCAAAAUAAUAAACCAUCAACGACUUAGUUAAAACUGUCCAACAAAACAGUGAGGCUAUUAUGUCCGCAUUUGCCGAAAUAAACGUAGUCACAACAAAAUUAGUUCGACAAGAAACGUCAAUCAGCACCGCUACAAAUGACUUUCCAAUAUCGUCUGAAAUCAUGUUGCAAAAAAUGGAGGAAAAAAUCACUUGUGACAACCGAGAUAUUUACGUCUCUACAAUGAACAAGCUGUGGCGAAACUGUGUCGGAAAAAAUAGAGAGAAUAUACUAGAUUCUAAAGUCAAAAUGGAUUAUAAUGUAGACGGUACUCAUGGAAAACGCUCUUUAAGGAAAUAUAAAAUUUUCUACAAAGCUUUAAUUGACUCCAUAGAAACUCUACCAUCCCUAGGGGAAAAAAAUGCGGAACAGCUACUACGCCAGGCAAUGCAAUUAUGCAAAAAGAAGCAAUUCAGAAAGAAUUCUGAAAAUAAAAAGAUCGAGCUGGAGUCAACAGAAAAUAUUGAUGUGAAUUAAAUUUUAGUAUUAAUUUUUGAGUGAACUAUUUUUUAUACAUACAUCAAAUGUGGAUAUGGAUUUUUAAUUUAAUUUUUUAUAAAUUAUUAUAUUACUUUUUUAAAACUAAAAUAAAAAACGAUAAAAUUAACUAGUAUUUAAUUAUACACAACCAACUAGUGCGAAACUGGUAAUGAUGAAUUGAUAUACAACUAGAAAAGAUGUGAGUAGUAUAAAACUACCAUGAAGAAUACUAGAGUGUGCACUAGUCCACAUAAAACUAGUCCAAACACAGUAGUUUACAGUACUACAUAACAACUAGUAUGUAUUUAACUAGUAUAGGUUCUAGUACUUUAAUUGUAUACAAAUGAACUAGUUAGGCGUAUAUGACAACCCCAUGUUAAAAUCGACAGUUCGUUAUAUGGAAAAAGGACAGAUAUGUUACUAGUUUGAAGCAAAAAGCAACUAGUAUAUUUCUACCUACAUACUAGUUAUUUUGGCUGCAAACAAUAUUUUGCACGAGGCGCAAGAUCAGCAAUACCCAAACGUCGACUGCGACAACGGUCGGAUGGUGACGCAAGAUCAGCAGUGCCCAAACGUCGACUGCGACAACGGUCUGAUGGUGAAGUAGCAAAACAAAUGUGAUGGACGGAAAGAUUUAGUUUAACAACUCCAUACUAAUAGAACGGUUCAGGCGAGUCGCCGAAUCCGAUAUAAAUAUAUGAAUUUAAAUUAAUAAACAUAAGUUUUUAAAUAAACAAUUAUCAUAAUUCUUAACUUAUGUAAGUUAUCAUGAGGAACCCUCGUGUUCCCGUAUUCCCACAGUUUGGCUGCACUAAAGCAACCAAAAACCCCACACGAGCUGCUAAGUCAGCGCAUUAAACACCUUAUUCUAAACACCUUAUUCAUUUGGUUGCACCCAAACCAACUACUU